UUUGGGCUCACCGUGGAACGGAUACUUGGUAAUCUGCGCAGAAAAGACACCUUCUUUUUUGUUCCAUUUCCUUUGGUUUUGUUCGAACUGCUCGCGGCUUCUUCCGUCGUGAUUUUUUUCGAAAAGUUUUUUUCUGCUUCGAUAUUUACAUAUUUUUUAUCACUCAUCACUAUUGCCUCGGCAAGAACAUUUUUACGUGGAUUUAAUUCUUCAGGCGGAGUACUUGGAAGUGAUGAUCUCCAGCUUAACUGACAGCUUGAUUGAGUACCUACCUACUGUAUCUACAACGCAAGCUUGCGAUAAGAUAGGAUUUCGAUAGCAGUGAUUAUGUUAUGAUUUAUAUAUGUAGCUUUAUGGAGUGUUUUGUCACAACACAACCAUAGCUAUUAAAUGCUUUCUUUUGGUAGAUCCUUAGGUAUUGUCCACUUACAUAUUCAAGCCUGUUACUUUUUUUUUAACAAUGACUCAGUUUGACCUGUUUUAGUUUUGAGGACUAAGACUAAAAAAUAAGAAAUAAGUUGGUAUCUCGUGAACCAGACGUUUUUCACCGACAUAUUAAACAACUUGUUUACAUAAAAACCUCAAAAAAUUAAUACCAAAUACCAUAGGUACAUACAUACCAUUCGGGACAGCCCCACAAUUUUCAGCUACUCUGGGCUCUAGUUUUGUAUGGAAUAUCUCGCUGCUUUUUUCGGGACGUCAUCAUGGUUGGUCUCAUGGGGAAAUGGGUUCAAUUACCAUCUUCUUCACUUUUGGUAAUUUUUUGUCAAUAAUGGUUGGAAUUGGUACAAUCGAUGCCCUAUUGGCCCUAUUUAUUAUUAUUGGGGUGUUGUGGGCCUUUGGGUGCCACGUCGACCAAGCAGUGAUCUACUGUGACGGCCCUUCAAAGUUCAAGAAAUUACAGAUUAGAAUAAGGGCAGAAAUAUACAGACAGGGCCAUAAUAAAGGUAUAAGUGCAAUCCAUGCAUGAGAGGAGGGCUAAACCGAGGGCCGAUCUUUGAAUUUCGAGCUGUCUCUGAAAAUCUGUGGAAAAAGAUGAAAUGCUACCUACUCGUAUUUUUGAAAUACGAGCGAUAAAAAAUUUCAAUUUUAUGAGUAGAAUUUAAAUGUCCCAUACACAUGGUCCUACUUACUUACUCAGUGGUAGCCGCCAAAGUCACAGAGGUUGUUAUGGUGGUGGUCAUCGGGUCAUAGACUCAGCGGCAAGCGGCCGCAAGUCUAUUCUAUACUACUGAUAGUGCGUUCUUGUGUAUGUGAUAGUGAAGCCAAAAAUAUGUUUUUAUGUCCAUGUGAAAAUAGCCGUGAAACUUUUGUCAUAUGCGAUUAUUUUCGAUUAGGUACUCGCCUUCGAUUUCGAGCGCUCGAAUUUCAAAAAUUGGGCUGUGGCCGCCUGUACCUAGCAGCAGCAAAUAUACUUAUGUACAGGCUAAGUAUAUUUUAAAUUAUUAAUACAUAGUUCUUCGGUACCUACUUAGAGUAACAGGUAAUACUUACUUUACUCUUUGAACAGGUAAAUAUCUUAGUGACAAAUUCGAUUGCAACCUUGAGCCCAGGAACCGUGACGUUUUACCUUGUAAUCGCAGCCCGGUGGUGGACUUCCGAUGUCCAAAAUCGACGUCAAGGAGAGGCAUUCGAAUUUCAAAAAUCUGAUCUUGAUUUGAUAAUAUUAUCCGUGCACCUCACUCACAUUUGUAUAUUUGUGUAGAAAAGAAGUAAAAAAGUUAUUUUUUUUCCAAAACAAUACGCUUUCAUUUUUAAUUAUAAAAAGUAUUAACAGCAUGAAUCUUUCAGAAACGGGUUUUUUAUAUUUUUUACGCCAUUUUAGCACGUUUUUUAAUAACACAUAGGUACGAAAAGUAAGUAAAAUAGUAAAGGAACGGUUUCGCCAAAAAGUACGGUUUUGGACGGGGUACAUUUUUAGUACGUAUGCUCCUCAAAAAGUACGUAAAAUUGUACUUACUAAAAAGUGGCAACGCUGAUAUUUAUGCACUCGAAAUGAAUUGAUAGUUAAUCAAGAUCAGAUGUUUUAAGCUCGAAUGACCGUACUUUACCUAUUAUCUAUACGACACCCACUUCAAAAGGAAAUUGACACAACAGUUUCGUAAUAUUUUUAUGGGUUACCGUUACCACGGCAAAUCAUUACAGUUUUUCCGAUGAUUCCUUUACCAAGCAAGCUACAUAGGUAGAGAUAGGUAAGGUAAUACUUACGGAUAGAACUUUAUGUGAAUCAGAGACUAGUCAUUAGAUAUUCCUAGUACGGUUUAGUUUUUUUUUAUUUAUACCAUGACGGUGGCAAACAAGCAUACGGCCCGCCUGAUGGUAAGCAGUCACCGCAGCCUAUGGACGCCUGCAACUCCAGAGGUGUUACAUGCGCGUUGCCGACCCUUUAAAAACCUGUACACUCCUUUAUUGAAGAACCCCAUACUGUAGACCCUCGGGAAAACCUCGGAAGGGAGCUCAUUAGUUAUUUCAGCAAUAUGAAAAGUAUGCAUUUAGUUUACUGUAGGUUAUGUUGUUAUUCGUAUCGUAAUAAUGUGGAACCUCGCAAACUCGAAAACUUUUUUAAGAUGAAUAAAAAGGUAAGUAUAAGAACCAUUUUAAGUCUAUACCCUCGAAUCUAUAAUACGAAAAGUCGUUAACACGAUUUUUUUUUCGUUUUACUUCAGAUUCGUGCUACCGAGGUUCCACUGUACCAGUAGGUAUAUCGUCAAAAACGUAUCAAAUUAUUACCGAGUUAUUUGGGUAAAACUGCUUAUGCUGCUCAUGUGAAACAUUGCUUCGUAACAAACGUAGGCACUCGACGCCUAGCAUGUUUGAAACCCAUAAGGUUUUAUGCCUGCGUGACGGAAUUUAGUGCACUUAAGUAAUUAACACAAUUUUAUUUUAAGUUCCUACCAGUAAAACAACGCGGCCCGUGCCCGUGGAUCUGUUCUUGAAAUAGCGUACCUAUUGCUAUUAAAUUGAAAACGUAUUGCGGUGCCAAUCGCUUUGGCGCCAAAUGUUAAUCACUAUUAAAUCAAGUUCCUAUUGAAAGGCUGUUUGAAAAUUUGAUUCAUCUAUUGGAAUUGUGUACAGCCUGUGCAGAGAUAAAUGACCUCCCCUGCAUAGAAAUUUGUUUGCAGGGGGGCGGGUCUACUAUAUCUGCAGCUGGCUGUUAGGUACAUGAGUAAAACAUUAGGUUUGCGCUUAUUCAUUUCAUGUAUACUUACUGAAAUUAAUGAUAUUUAAUUUGAAUUUAAAUUAUAUUCUAUUUCGAUUUGUUGUUUUGCUGAAUGCAUAUCACAGUACUCGGUAUUUCUCAGUAGACUACGUCGUAAGGGCGUGAGUAAUAGCAAGGUUGGUUUGUUCUCAUUUUCCAACGUGUGACGUAUAAGUUUUGAAGGUCUAACUGUCUCGGUUUUUUAUUUAGUUUUUCUUAUAAGCAUAAGAGAGACGGCACAAAAGUAUUGUGUAGGCAGCCUGCGCGGGCGUUCACGUCAUGACUGCUUACGUGAUUAAGAACGCAUUUUGUCUCGGACUGUAAUAUAAUUCCUAAUGUUACUUGAUCUUGCCAUACGUUACAACUGUGGGUAAUCGGUGAUUAUACUUAUACUGGUUAGUCUGAGGCCAACCAAGCGCUCGUUAAUCGUGAACACCAGGCCAGUUUUCCUCGUCGGCGCGGCAGUUAGUAAUAAUGCUUCAACACUGGAACUAACACGGAUUUAUUAUUUUCCAACUACUUGAAACGUGAAGGUGAAACUUAUUGAAUUGAAAAGUAUGGGCUGCAACAUCUCGUGCCGGCCUUGCUGCUGCUGCUGCAUCCCGUGCCUGUGCUGCGACUGCUGCGCGGAGCCGCCCCCGCCCACCACCGUCAACGUGGUGCACCACCACGUGCCCGCGCCCGUCACCGUCGUGCACCAGCCGCCGCCACCCUACGCCAGAUAGUACUUACUAAUACGAAACACUAUCAUUUAUGGCUUUUACAGACAGUUGACAAAACACUAAAUAUAUAUUACAAAGUUAGUUAAGAAAACACCGUUACUUUGUGGUGAUUAUUUCAAAGCGGACUGACGCGUUGUGUUCGUUUGUAUUUUUAUUUCUGUGCUCUUUUGGCUUGAGAGGAAUACAAACAGUCGAUGAUCACAGUCGAUUAAGUGCAAUAGGUGCAUUGUUUUUGAAAUAAGUCAUAGUUACUUGGUUGGUUGGUCUUUACCAAACGAAUUAAAAGUAAUAGUAAAGAAAGGUUAAGAAAAUGAAACGAAACAAUGGCGAGAAUUAUAACUAUGUAGUAUUUAAAAUGGAGUUAUACCAAGUAUAUUUGUUUUAAUGAAUUUCCGAUACUCUAACUAACAAUAUUCACUAAAAUAAAUACCCCGUUUUAAAUAGUAGUUAAUACAAAAUGAUUAUGUUAUCUUGAACGCGUAAAUUACGGGAAUGUUAAUUUAUUUCUUCAGCAAAAUUGUGCCCUACUUCAACCCUGUACAGUUUUGUUUUUACCUUAGUAUUACCUUAUAUACUUAGGUACCUACCGGAUGUCUAUUUUUUUCUGAUAAUGAGCCUAAUCAUAUCAAUGCUAUUAUCUAUGAAAAUUAGAAUUACAUAUGGUUAGUGAUGAGAUAUACGAUUUCUUUAUAUGGGGUCAUCCAUUAAUUACAUCACACGUUUAGGGAGAGGGUCAAGAAAAUGUGUCAUGUUGUGACAAGGGGGAGAGGGGGAGUCACAAACUUUGUGAUGUCACUUAUAUUCGCUGUACAGUAAAAUUUUCUUUCCUAAUUGGUCUUGUGUUAUAAAAUUACUAAUAUUAACAAAAAAUGUGACGUCACAACAGGGGGAGGGGUAAAAAAACCUAGAAAAACGUAAUUAAUUGAAGACCCCUUUUUUAACAAGUUAAUGAUAUAUUUCCGCUGUUAUCUUACAUUUAUUUUGCAAAAAUAAACUGUUGAAGUAGAAAUAUCAACGAACGCAUUUAUUAUACUUUAUUUUAUGUAUCAGUAGCAAAUACCAAAAAGAUCUGCACAUGACUUCACUACUACAGCGCAUAUUAUAGAGUCAUGUCGUGCGGACUGCAUAAAGCAUAUGAUUGACGGAAUGAGAGGAACGGCCCAAUUCGAACAAUGCUUACCUAUAUAUAAGAUGUCACACCGUUAUGAUACUGAUCUGUCACUGUCAAGUGACAUUUCUUCAACCAAAAAUGACACUUGACACUUGGCUUGACCCAACAGCAAAGACGUCUUGUACGUGUUGAUUUUUCUUAGUUUUAAUUUUAUCUUUGUAAUUGUUUAAGUACCUAUCAACUUUUGUAUGUACUUAUUAGUUAAAUUAAAUUCCUUUUUUAUUCUUACGGUUAGAAUAGAAAAGAACUAAAUAGACAUUUAGUAUGGUAAAAAGGUAUUUCCUAAUUUAUGUUAUGUAUAAUUUGUAUAUAUGAACAAAAGUCAGUUGUAUUAAUGCAUUUUCAUUCAUUUUAGUUUACAAGCCUCGAGUUUAUGCUUGUAUAAUGUAAUAUAUGUAUAAGUGUAAAUAAUAUUAAGGAAAAUUUAUAAAAUAAUAAGAAAAAAUAAAUCUAUUAUUUAGA